rnacentral:rRNA from 1 species
GACGAACGCUGGCGGCGUGCUUAACACAUGCAAGUCGAACGGAAAGGCCCUGCUUUUGUGGGGUGCUCGAGUGGCGAGCGGGUGAGUAACACGUGAGUAACCUGCCCUUGACUUUGGGAUAACUUCAGGAAACUGGGGCUAAUACCGGAUAGGAGCUCCUGCUGCAUGGUGGGGGUUGGAAAGUUUCGGCGGUUGGGGAUGGACUCGCGGCUUAUCAGCUUGUUGGUGGGGUAGUGGCUUACCAAGGCUUUGACGGGUAGCCGGCCUGGGAGGGUGACCGGCCACAUUGGGACUGAGAUACGGCCCAGACUCCUACGGGAGGCAGCAGUGGGGAAUAUUGCACAAUGGGCGGAAGCCUGAUGCAGCAACGCCGCGUGCGGGAUGACGGCCUUCGGGUUGUAAACCGCUUUCGCCUGUGACGAAGCGUGAGUGACGGUAAUGGGUAAAGAAGCACCGGCUAACUACGUG